rnacentral:rRNA from 1 species
GGGUUGUGAGGUUAAGCGACUAAGCGUACACGGUGGAUGCCCUGGCAGUCAGAGGCGAUGAAGGACGUGCUAAUCUGCGAUAAGCGUCGGUAAGGUGAUAUGAACCGUUAUAACCGGCGAUUUCCGAAUGGGGAAACCCAGUGUGAUUCGUCACACUAUCAUUAACUGAAUCCAUAGGUUAAUGAGGCGAACCGGGGGAACUGAAACAUCUAAGUACCCCGAGGAAAAGAAAUCAACCGAGAUUCCCCCAGUAGCGGCGAGCGAACGGGGAGGAGCCCAGAGCCUGAAUCAGUGUGUGUGUUAGUGGAAGCGUCUGGAAAGGCGCGCGAUACAGGGUGACAGCCCCGUACACAAAAAUGCACAUAUUGUGAGCUCGAUGAGUAGGGCGGGACACGUGGUAUCCUGUCUGAAUAUGGGGGGACCAUCCUCCAAGGCUAAAUACUCCUGACUGACCGAUAGUGAACCAGUACCGUGAGGGAAAGGCGAAAAGAACCCCGGCGAGGGGAGUGAAAAAGAACCUGAAACCGUGUACGUACAAGCAGUGGGAGCACGCUUAGGCGUGUGACUGCGUACCUUUUGUAUAAUGGGUCAGCGACUUAUAUUCUGUAGCAAGGUUAACCGAAUAGGGGAGCCGAAGGGAAACCGAGUCUUAACUGGGCGUUAAGUUGCAGGGUAUAGACCCGAAACCCGGUGAUCUAGCCAUGGGCAGGUUGAAGGUUGGGUAACACUAACUGGAGGACCGAACCGACUAAUGUUGAAAAAUUAGCGGAUGACUUGUGGCUGGGGGUGAAAGGCCAAUCAAACCGGGAGAUAGCUGGUUCUCCCCGAAAGCUAUUUAGGUAGCGCCUCGUGAAUUCAUCUCCGGGGGUAGAGCACUGUUUCGGCAAGGGGGUCAUCCCGACUUACCAACCCGAUGCAAACUGCGAAUACCGGAGAAUGUUAUCACGGGAGACACACGGCGGGUGCUAACGUCCGUCGUGAAGAGGGAAACAACCCAGACCGCCAGCUAAGGUCCCAAAGUCAUGGUUAAGUGGGAAACGAUGUGGGAAGGCCCAGACAGCCAGGAUGUUGGCUUAGAAGCAGCCAUCAUUUAAAGAAAGCGUAAUAGCUCACUGGUCGAGUCGGCCUGCGCGGAAGAUGUAACGGGGCUAAACCAUGCACCGAAGCUGCGGCAGCGACGCUUAUGCGUUGUUGGGUAGGGGAGCGUUCUGUAAGCCUGCGAAGGUGUGCUGUGAGGCAUGCUGGAGGUAUCAGAAGUGCGAAUGCUGACAUAAGUAACGAUAAAGCGGGUGAAAAGCCCGCUCGCCGGAAGACCAAGGGUUCCUGUCCAACGUUAAUCGGGGCAGGGUGAGUCGACCCCUAAGGCGAGGCCGAAAGGCGUAGUCGAUGGGAAACAGGUUAAUAUUCCUGUACUUGGUGUUACUGCGAAGGGGGGACGGAGAAGGCUAUGUUGGCCGGGCGACGGUUGUCCCGGUUUAAGCGUGUAGGCUGGUUUUCCAGGCAAAUCCGGAAAAUCAAGGCUGAGGCGUGAUGACGAGGCACUACGGUGCUGAAGCAACAAAUGCCCUGCUUCCAGGAAAAGCCUCUAAGCAUCAGGUAACAUCAAAUCGUACCCCAAACCGACACAGGUGGUCAGGUAGAGAAUACCAAGGCGCUUGAGAGAACUCGGGUGAAGGAACUAGGCAAAAUGGUGCCGUAACUUCGGGAGAAGGCACGCUGAUAUGUAGGUGAGGUCCCUCGCGGAUGGAGCUGAAAUCAGUCGAAGAUACCAGCUGGCUGCAACUGUUUAUUAAAAACACAGCACUGUGCAAACACGAAAGUGGACGUAUACGGUGUGACGCCUGCCCGGUGCCGGAAGGUUAAUUGAUGGGGUUAGCCGCAAGGCGAAGCUCUUGAUCGAAGCCCCGGUAAACGGCGGCCGUAACUAUAACGGUCCUAAGGUAGCGAAAUUCCUUGUCGGGUAAGUUCCGACCUGCACGAAUGGCGUAAUGAUGGCCAGGCUGUCUCCACCCGAGACUCAGUGAAAUUGAACUCGCUGUGAAGAUGCAGUGUACCCGCGGCAAGACGGAAAGACCCCGUGAACCUUUACUAUAGCUUGACACUGAACAUUGAGCCUUGAUGUGUAGGAUAGGUGGGAGGCUUAGAAGUGUGGACGCCAGUCUGCAUGGAGCCGACCUUGAAAUACCACCCUUUAAUGUUUGAUGUUCUAACGUUGACCCGUAAUCCGGGUUGCGGACAGUGUCUGGUGGGUAGUUUGACUGGGGCGGUCUCCUCCUAAAGAGUAACGGAGGAGCACGAAGGUUGGCUAAUCCUGGUCGGACAUCAGGAGGUUAGUGCAAUGGCAUAAGCCAGCUUGACUGCGAGCGUGACGGCGCGAGCAGGUGCGAAAGCAGGUCAUAGUGAUCCGGUGGUUCUGAAUGGAAGGGCCAUCGCUCAACGGAUAAAAGGUACUCCGGGGAUAACAGGCUGAUACCGCCCAAGAGUUCAUAUCGACGGCGGUGUUUGGCACCUCGAUGUCGGCUCAUCACAUCCUGGGGCUGAAGUAGGUCCCAAGGGUAUGGCUGUUCGCCAUUUAAAGUGGUACGCGAGCUGGGUUUAGAACGUCGUGAGACAGUUCGGUCCCUAUCUGCCGUGGGCGCUGGAGAACUGAGGGGGGCUGCUCCUAGUACGAGAGGACCGGAGUGGACGCAUCACUGGUGUUCGGGUUGUCAUGCCAAUGGCACUGCCCGGUAGCUAAAUGCGGAAGAGAUAAGUGCUGAAAGCAUCUAAGCACGAAACUUGCCCCGAGAUGAGUUCUCCCUGACCCUUUAAGGGUCCUGAAGGAACGUUGAAGACGACGACGUUGAUAGGCCGGGUGUGUAAGCGCAGCGAUGCGUUGAGCUAACCGGUACUAAUGAACCGUGAGGCUUAACCUUACAACGCCGAAGCUGUU